GACGAACGCUGGCGGCGCGCUUAACACAUGCAAGUCGAGCGGAAAGGCCUGCUUUCCCUUGUGGAUUGCGGGUACUCGAGUGGCGAACGGGUGAGUAACACGUGAGUGAUCUGCCCCCAACUUGGGUAUAAGCCUGGGAAACUGGGUCUAAUUCCCGAUAGGACUGCAGGGUGGUGCCUGUGGUGGAAAACGAUUUUCUAGUGGUUGGGGAUGAGCUCGCGGCCUAUCAGCUUGUUGGUGGGGUAAUGGCCUACCAAGGCGGCGACGGGUAGCCGGCCUGGGAGGGUGGACGGCCACAUUGGGACUGAGAUACGGCCCAGACUCCUACGGGAGGCAGCAGUGGGGAAUAUUGCACAAUGGGCGGAAGCCUGAUGCAGCGACGCCGCGUGGGGGAUGACGGCCUUCGGGUUGUAAACUCCUUUCGACCGCGAGGAAGCCACCUGGUUGGAAGGGUGGUGACGGUAGUGGUAGAAGAAGCACCGGCUAACUACGUG
rnacentral:rRNA from 1 species